rnacentral:tRNA from 1 species
CGCGUUUGUUUUGGGUACAAAAUGUCACAGGUUCGAAUCCUGUCAUCCCUA